rnacentral:lncRNA from 1 species
UGUUAUUUUGGUGGUGGGCAUGGUCCCAGAUAGGGGCAGCGUUCCCCUUUUUCCUGGCUUUUCAGGGAGAGCAGCAAGAGAAAGAAAGAAGCAAACGAAAUUCCUGAAUGGAUAAGAGAUGCUACGUCAGCGGUACUGGAGCCGCAUCCUCCACUCCACGAGAAGAGAAGAGCUAGGAGAGACCAGCGGGCGGUAGCUGCGGCGAGUGGCCUCUCCGUGCGGCACAGAGGCAAGAAGCAGCCAUCCAUCCAGAAGCAGCCUCCGUGUUCCGUUUGUCCGGAUGUCAUCGUAGGUGGCCGGCAUCUCUGGCUUUGGGCUUCUCCCCUGGGGGCGGGUGGGUGCUCCACCCUCCCGCCCACUCUCUGAGGACAUGAGGAACAUGGUAUCCAGCACCACGGACAGCUCCCAGCGGUGAGUGAGCCUGCUGACCCCUGUAGGAAAAUGGUGGUUUUGUCUAUUCCAGGCAGACAUCCUGCACUACAUUCCAGAUCUGAUGAGGCAUGGCUGCCCCAGGAUUACUGGGCUCGGACGGGAGCAGUGGUAGGAAGGAUCCUAUAUAAGUCAUGUGAGACAUAGAAUGUUCAGAUCAACUGAAGCUGAAACAAGCCUUUGGCAUCAUAUAUAACCCAGAAAGGGACAAAGCUGAUCCCAGAGGACUCAAGGCUAUGGGUGAUGUCGAAGGUGCGGAAGAAUCAAGUUGGAAAGACCAGCAGGAGACAGACAGAGUAAGGUUCCUUGAAUGCUUGGUUUAUGUGCCUGGCUGGAGGAGACACCCAUGGCCUUGCAGAGGGAGCGUUCUGGUGGGAAAGCAGACACAACCCACCCUAGGCCCGUGGUUUCCCUGCAAGAAGCCCAGUGGCUUUCUGGAGGACACUUUUCCUGGAGGAAGUGACUCAAGAGCAGCAUAAGCCAGGCUCUAUGGAAUGUUGGGUGAGCUGCUUGAGGAACUCCAAGGCCUGUCCCACAGUCUUCCAGCCUCCGACUCUCCGGCCCUCAGCGAGGAAGUCCCACUGGUUUUUUUGGUUGGUUUUUUUUUUUUUUUUUAAGGUUUUUUGGUUUUUUUUUUUUUUUCUCAUUCCUGUCUUGGGAGCUUUCCCCAACCAGGAGAGUGAAGAUGGGCGGAGCUGUCACACCAACUGUUAGCCUGCCUUGGCUGAGAGGAGAGGAGGCGAGGAGGGAGCGACCACCCAGCUUUAGUCGUUUUAAAACAGCUCCUGACCCUAGAAGAAGGGAAAUGGAGAUGAAGACCCAAUUGACUUGCAGACUGAUCGAACACACAGGCUUCUCAGCCCACUCCCUCCAGUCAAGGUUAAGGCCUGGCAAAGGUGGAGGAAGAGAAGCUGAGGAGAAAAAGGCGAGGAGAGCCUAGGCACAGGAAGGUGACCGCUUCCCUCCCUCCCAGUGCUGAUUUCCUGUGGACCAGAUUCCAGCACAGUGGAGGGCCAGAGCUCAGGGAACAGACCCAGCAGCACAGCAAGUCUCCAAGGAAAGCUCUAGCAGUCUCCAGGGGCUGAAGGCAGGACUGGGGAAGCGGCUAGCCAGGCUGCAGAAGGCAAAUGCUCCCAGACGGCUGUCCAGCACGCAUCCGCCUUCCUAGCCAAGUUUCCUGGGCUCCUGCCACAGAUCUAAGCCUCAUCCUGACAUCCUGCCCUCUGUGCUCUGGGAUGGCCCAGGGGAGAUGCUUAGCCUUGGCUCCUUGUCUGCUGGUGGAGGGGACACACACCCUUUCUGGACCACAGACCAAAAAGAAGACCUGACGUCAUCCUGAGCACCCCCGCCAUGCAGAGUGUGUUCGCAGACUGCCAACGGGCUGGCUCCGGCCAGCAGAAGUGAACAGAGGUGGAGGUUCAGCCUGACAGCUUCUCCCCAAAGCCAUGGAGAGAAAACCUUACCACCCCCACCGCCCAGCUACUUCCAGCAAGUUGUCCAGCCUGACCCCUCUAUUUCCCCUGUUGUCUCUUAUCUGGGUCCCUGAGACCCACCCCAUCUCCAAUAAAGAACAUUGCAUACUGUGCA